rnacentral:rRNA from 1 species
UUAAGAAUCUUGCGCAAUGGGGGCAACCCUGACGCAGCGACGCCGCGUGAAGGACGAAGGCUCUCGGGUUGUAAACUUCAAUAAACAGGGAAGAAUUUUGACGGUACCUGUUGAUAGCACCGGCUAAAUACGUGCCAGCAGCCGCGGUAAUACGUAUGGUGCAAGCGUUGUUCGGAUUUACUGGGCGUAAAGAGCGCGCAGGCGGAUAAUUAAGUCGGGUGUGAAAUUUCCAGGCUCAACCUGGAGGCUGCAUCCGAAACUGGUUAUCUGGAGUCCCGGAGAGGCAGACGGAAUACCUGGUGUAGCGGUGAAAUGCGUAGAUAUCAGGUGGAACACCGAUGGCGAAGGCAGUCUGCUGGACGGUGACUGACGCUGAGGCGCGAAAGCGUGGGGAGCAAACAGGAUUAGAUACCCGUGUAGUCC